CUUUUAUGGAGAGUUUGAUCCUGGCUCAGGACGAACGCUGGCGGCGUGCCUAAUACAUGCAAGUCGAGCGGACUUGAUGGAGUGCUUGCACUCCUGAUAGUUAGCGGCGGACGGGUGAGUAACACGUAGGUAACCUGCCUGUAAGACUGGGAUAACAUUCGGAAACGAAUGCUAAUACCGGAUACGCGAAUUGGUCGCAUGGCCGAUUCGGGAAAGACGGAGCAAUCUGUCACUUACAGAUGGACCUGCGGCGCAUUAGCUAGUUGGUGAGGUAACGGCUCACCAAGGCGACGAUGCGUAGCCGACCUGAGAGGGUGAUCGGCCACACUGGGAC
rnacentral:rRNA from 1 species